GCAGAUGUGGUUCAAUGGUUAGAAUUUCGCCUUGCCAAGGCGGGGAUGCGAGUUCGAUUCUCGUCAUCUGCUCCA
rnacentral:tRNA from 1 species